rnacentral:rRNA from 1 species
UACAGAGGUCCCGAGCGUUGUUCGGAUUUAUUGGGCGUAAAGGGUGCGUAGGCGGCGGAGUAAGUUGGGUGUGAAAUCCCGGGGGCUCAACCUCGGAAUGGCAUUCAAUACUGCUUCGCUAGAGUACUGGAGAGGAGGCUGGAAUUUACGGUGUAGCAGUGAAAUGCGUAGAUAUCGUAAGGAAGGCCGGUGGCGAAAGCGAGCCUCUGGACAGUUACUGACGCUGAUGCACGAAGGCCAGGGGAGCAAACGGG